GGAGCUUCCGGGAGGGAUUUCUCAAGAUGGCGGACAACAGAACGAAUUGGCAGUGGAGCGAAGGAACGAAAGAAGAAGAGCGCGAACGCGAGAAUACCGGCGCCAAGGCCUGGAUUUGAAGACCCCUUGACAAGUGUUUCAACUGUUGUGUAGGACUCAUAAACAAGUGCACUGAAAUAAAUAAAAUUACAACAAGACAAACUGUGAUGGAAUGGCAACACAAGACGGAUGGAUAAAACUGGAAGAUAUGGACAAAACAGGAAGAAGCAUUCAUCUCCCCUGCAAAGAUGUGAAUGUGCAAAGUGUGCAACAACCUCAGCAGUCAAUGCGCAAACAUCUGCAUUAAGAAGCUGUUCCUACAUCUUGAUUGACUGGGCUUCAUCUCAGCAGCCAGCAUUGCUUUGUUUAACCGGGUCAAAGUGAGGAGGGUUUGCUUACUCACUCAAUGAGAUGUCCAUGAAGACGAGAAGAAGACCUUCACUAAUCUUGGCUGACAUUGGCAUGUUGGCACCGCACUGCUGCACAACAAAGGAUGAAUAUAAACUAUAGGUUUUUCAGAUAAAUCUGUUCAACGUGGAAUGACUGAUUCACAUCUCCACAGGUGGAUGUUCUGUUAUGUGACAGAAUACUUUUCAUGAAAGCAUAAUUAUAGUCUAUGGAAACAUUCAUCUGGGUUUGUAAUAAAGAAACUUGUCUAUAUCAGAGGAACUUGAAAAUAUUUUAUUUAAAAAAAACUUUAAAUAAUGUGUAAAUCCCUCUUUUCAGUCUAUAGUUAUA